ensembl:lncRNA
CUGGCUGCGAGGAGCCGGGUCGAGGGUGGAAGGGGGGAGAGCUCCUUCCCCGCGCCCCCCGGGAGCCCUUGGCGACGUGGCGCUGCCCUCUUUUAAGCGCAGCACAAACUCUCCUGCCCAGCCGCGUCUUUCCUGGGAGCCUUUUUCACCCGUUUCGUGCUAAAUCCGACGCGCGUUCGGCCUGUGCAGGGAAUUCAGCCGCAGCAGCUCUCUGGCAGCGGGGAUACCCUUUCCCUCCUCCGGGAUAACUGCUGGCCUGUCCACCGUUUCUGCCACCUCGGUCCCCUUUCUCCCUCCGUUCGUCCACACUUCACUGCCUUGUCCAUCCCUCUGCUGAAGGCUCCUGACCGGACUGCUACAAUCCAGAACGCUUGCGUAUUUUGAUUAGGAUGUUUUGUCCCAACACGUGUAUUUCCAUGCUCCAGGAUAAUAACUAACGGAUGGCAAAUGAAAUAGAACGCUGCCUUUUAUCUGCGGUCCCUCAGAGGCUGCUGUGCGCAGGGGUAGCUCCAGCGGCCUCCAAGGGGAAGCCAGCUCCGGGCUGGAAGGGUUUAAAUCAAGUCUGAAACAAGGUCAGCAGAGUUCACGCUCCUGCUGAUCCUAAAACCUGCAGGCGAUCUUUACUGCCCAUCUUUACAAACACCGCAGUGUCCUUUAGCUAUGUGUCCUGUUGUUUGUGCAACAGGGAGAAAGAAUAUCGUAUUUUGAGUCCCUUGUGCUGCUUCUUAAAACACAGGUUAGCCAUGGAUAUCUCCUGUUUUAAGAAUCAUCUGGCUUGACUCUUGAGGACCGGAGCAGCAAGGGAUGUUCCUGCAGCAGGAUCAGCAGGAACAUCUACACCCGGGACAAGCACGGAGCCACAACCCUGCCCUCUCCUGGGCUGAGCUCGCAAAACCGCCAAGCGGGUCUGUGCGGAAAGCAGCGCGGCCUGCGCUGCUCCGUGGCAUCGCUGCGUUCCCGUCAGCAGAGCGGCACCCAGCAGGGACGGAGCAUCUUUGGGGUCGGUUUUCAAAGGCUGCUAUUUGUCUGACCUUCCUUCCAGCUGCUGUUGUUUGCUUUUGGUCAGCAGGUUACCGAAGGAGGAAGAAACUGGAGAGAAUUCCCUUCUUUGACAAGCAAAAUAGUUUCAUUUGAAUAAAUUGUGAUUUUCCUUAUUUUAUUAUACAUUUUGCAUUAACUGAUAUUUUACACCCUUGCUCUGAAAGUGAUUUGAUUACAUGGGAAUCUCUACUUCUAUUAAAAAGUGAAAAUAGACUGCUAGCCCUUGUGGUCAUGCACUAGAGCUUGAAAAAGCUAGAAAAAUAGGAGGGCAAUUACAGGAAUCCCUGCUGUAGUAGUUCUGGAAAGAGUUGGACUUUAAGGCCAUCUGAGGAUUUGGGCACCGGCAGCAUUUCCUCCUCACCCUGAGCGAGACGACCCUGGCACGGGCAGGGGCAGGAUGGGGCGAUGCCCUGGGCACUGCAACGCGCUAGAAGCCAGGAUGGGGCCGGAUGAGACCGAGCAGCUGCCAGAGCGUCCUCCAAAGGAGCGCCGCGGCUCCCCGGCAGCUCCAGGCGGGAGCUGGCACGGCAGGGAGAGGCCCUGGGAACACUGCGACUUCCCUGGUGGGGGAUUCUCUAGUGUCUGAUAAGGGUUGAACCUACCCUGCUGCUUUCCCCCGCCGAGGGGCGCUAGGAGAACCCCCUCC